rnacentral:misc_RNA from 1 species
AACUUUUGACAAUGGGUCUCUUGGUUCUGGCAUCGAUGAAGAACGCAGCGAAAUGCGAUAAGUAAUGUGAAUUGCAGAAUUCAGCGAAUCAUCGAAUCUUUGAACGCACAUUGCGCCUCCGGGUAUUCCUGGAGGCAUGCCUGUUCGAGCGUCGUUAAAGACCAUAAGGCUUUGCCUUGCGAUGAGCUUCUGGCUUUCUGCUCUUGAAGAAAGCCAGUUGCUUCAAACCGAUUGGCGUCUGAAGUUAGCCCAAGCACAGCAAAAUGUGUUCUGAGUCUUACAAAGGAUUGCCCGUACCCAAAAUCAUUUAUUGGUCGACCUCGGAUCAGGCAAGAUUACCCGCUGAACUUAAGCAUAUCAAUAAGCGGAGGCU